rnacentral:rRNA from 2 species
GAGUUUGAUCCUGGCUCAGAACGAACGCUGGCGGCGUGCUUAACACAUGCAAGUCGAACGUGAUCCAGAGCUUGCUCUGGUGAAAGUGGCGCACGGGUGAGUAACGCGUGGAUAACCUGCCCUGGUAUCUGGGAUAACAUCUCGAAAGGGGUGCUAAUACCGGAUAAGCCUACGGACUCCUCGGAGUCUGCAGGAAAAGGUGGCCUCUAUUUAUAAGCUACCGUAUCAGGAUGGGUCCGCGUACCAUUAGCUAGUUGGUGGGGUAAUGGCCUACCAAGGCGACGAUGGUUAGCUGGUCUGAGAGGAUGAUCAGCCAUACUGGAACUGAGACACGGUCCAGACUCCUACGGGAGGCAGCAGUGGGGAAUUUUGCGCAAUGGGGGAAACCCUGACGCAGCAACGCCGCGUGAGUGAUGAAGGCUUUCGGGUCGUAAAGCUCUGUCAGAGGGGAAGAAAUGGAAACGGUUAAUACCCGUUUUCCUUGACGGUACCCUCAAAGGAAGCACCGGCUAACUCCGUGCCAGCAGCCGCGGUAAUACC